UACGUGGGGAGCAAGCGUUGUUCGGAUUUACUGGGCGUAAAGGGCGCGUAGGCGGCGCAACAAGUCACUUGUGAAAUCUCCGGGCUUAACUCGGAAAGGUCAAGUGAUACUGUUGUGCUAGAGUGCGGAAGGGGCAACUGGAAUUCUCGGUGUAGCGGUGAAAUGCGUAGAUAUCGAGAGGAACACCUGCGGCGAAGGCGGGUUGCUGGGCCGACACUGACGCUGAUGCGCGAAAGCCAGGGGAGCAAACGGG
rnacentral:rRNA from 1 species